UCUAGAGAGCAGCUGAUUACUUGGUAAAUCAGCGUCUUUUCAGUGGCGUCUACUGCAGGAUGGAUAUUAAAAUAUGUAAUACGUUUUGGUUUGACAACAGCGUUAAUAUGUGAACUAUCACAAUUAAAUGUGAUGUAACAACAUUACAUCCCGAGAUCAUUCACAAAUGUGACAAAAGAGAAGAAACGCCUUCCGGGAGAAGUUCAUCAGGCCGAGAAAUGCAUGAUAUUGUGCAAGGGGUAGACACAUCAACUAUCAGUGGAGGGUCAGAAAGCUCUGAGAUUAUAUAGGACUUCUUUUGUGUGCUGAAGAUAAACACAAGACUUGCAAUGACAUGAAGGGAUCAUACGGCAAGAUCUGAUACAGUCGCUCAUGCCAAACAUAGACAUGUAAUCAGCAUAGUCUCCCC